GAUGAACGCUGGCGGCGUGCCUAAUACAUGCAAGUCGAGCGAACGGACGAGAAGCUUGCUUCUCUGAUGUUAGCGGCGGACGGGUGAGUAACACGUGGAUAACCUACCUAUAAGACUGGGAUAACUUCGGGAAGCCGUAGCUAAUACCGGAUAAUAUUUUGAACCGCAUGGUUCAAAAGUGAAAGACGGUCUUGCUGUCACUUAUAGAUGGAUCCGCGCUGCAUUAGCUAGUUGGUAAGGUAACGGCUUACCAAGGCAACGAUGCAUAGCCGACCUGAGAGGGUGAUCGGCCACACUGGAACUGAGACACGGUCCAGACUCCUACGGGAGGCAGCAGUAGGGAAUCUUCCGCAAUGGGCGAAAGCCUGACGGAGCAACGCCGCGUGAGUGAUGAAGGUCUUCGGACCGUAAAACUCUGUUAUUAGGGAAGAACAUAUGUGUAAGUAACUGUGCACAUCUUGACGGUACCUAAUCAGAAAGCCACGGCUAACUACGUG
rnacentral:rRNA from 1 species